CCUACGGGUGGCAGCAGUGGGGAAUAUUGGACAAUGGGCGAAAGCCUGAUCCAGCCAUGCCGCGUGUGUGAAGAAGGCCUUCGGGUUGUAAAGCACUUUCAGUGGGGAAGAAAGCCUUGGGGCUAAUACCCUCGAGGAGGGACAUCACCCACAGAAGAAGCACCGGCUAACUCCGUGCCAGCAGCCGCGGUAAUACGGAGGGUGCGAGCGUUAAUCGGAAUUACUGGGCGUAAAGCGCGCGUAGGCGGUCUGAUAAGCCGGUUGUGAAAGCCCCGGGCUCAACCUGGGAACGGCAUCCGGAACUGUCAGGCUAGAGUGCAGGAGAGGAAGGUAGAAUUCCCGGUGUAGCGGUGAAAUGCGUAGAGAUCGGGAGGAAUACCAGUGGCGAAGGCGGCCUUCUGGACUGACACUGACGCUGAGGUGCGAAAGCGUGGGUAGCAAACAGGAUUAGAUACCCCUGUAGUC
rnacentral:rRNA from 1 species